rnacentral:lncRNA from 1 species
CUUCUUUAGGUGGCUUCCCUCAUCAAGCAGUCCUUGCAAGAAGCCGAUUAAAAAUCUUGUUCUGCAAAUAAGAAUGGCAUAGGGCCAAUCCUUGAUAGUUAGUGCCAGUUAAAAUGAAAUGCAAAUAAAAAGACGAAAAAACCUUUCUCGGUAUAAAUUUCACCUCUAUCAUAAUUAAGAGUGAAAGAAAGAAAACAUCAAUCAAUUGCUUGAUUGAUUCUAGGCUUAAAUGUAAUAGUUUAGUUUCUUCACAUGUGACUAGAAGCAACUGGCACACCCACUGAUACGUUCUGCCUACAAAUUGACCGGUUAGCACAAGGGAACUCUUCGAGCGAGUGUCAGCUCCAAUAUCUCCAGAACGAAGAAGGGAGAAAACAGAGAAAAGGUUGAGCAGAAAAAGGAAGAAUAAGGAAAAGAGAAAAAAAAAGUUCAGAUCCCAAAAUCUCAUAGCAUAAUUCAUGCAGACCUCUCCCAAGAGUUUUAUGCCUUCUCUUGGGAAAAUCAAAACCAAAGCGACACAACUGUCUAACAGAAUUGGUUACAACCAGAAAUAGUAAAUUGUAGGAAAAAUAAAAAAAACAAACCAAAAGAUAAAACCGGAGCUUCACGUCCCUUUCCUUACACGACGUAGUCGUUCAUCCAAGUUGGCGGUUUUCUGGGCCUGCAUGGGCCUGAGUUGGACUGGGCCUUGGAAUGCUUGGUGACUAGCUGAGUGGCAGCAUUGGGCUCUUCCAUGGGAGGUACUUUAGGUGUAUUGGGCUCUUCCACAACGGAUGCUUCAGUUGUUUGUACAUGUUGCUGUAAAGGGAUGGCCACGAAUGUAUCAUUCCCCACUCCAUGAAAAUCGACCUUGUCCUCAAGGUGGUAAUCAGGGUAAAGUGUGCAGAAUGCAACAAAAUCUUCCCAGGUUGCUUUCUCAGGGUCACUGGCGGUCCACUGCACCAGAAUUUGUUGGACUUCUUUUCCCUGUCGGAGAAUCGUUCGAACAACACAAAUAGCCGCUGGUACUAAUAGAGGAUGGAUGCCCAUAGUUUCGGUCGGGAGUGGAUAGACUUCUUCAGGAACGGGUCCUCGAAAAGGCUUAAGGGCAGAUAUGUGAAACACGGGAUGGAUCUUGCAGCCACUGGGUAAUGCUAAACGAUAAGCGACGGCCCCAAUCCGCUCAAGCACUUGGUACGGUCCAUAAUACCGUUAGGCCAAUUUUUGGUAGGGACGAUGAGCUGCGGUAGUUUGCCGAUACGGUUGUAAGCGAACAAGAACCAUAUCUCUUACUUCAAGCUGCAGGUCGUGCCGAUGUGCAUUGGCCUUUUGCGUCAUCCGGUGUUGAGCUUGACAUAGAUUCUCCUUCAAAGUACGGAGCAAGGCAUCGCGCUCCACAAGUGCCUCAUCGAGGGCUUGGAUUGAAGUAGAGCCCUGGGUAUAAGCCGGAAUGAUCGGAGGGGGACGUCCAAAUAAGGCCUGAAAAGGAGUCAUUUUGAGUCCACUAUGAUAACUGGAAUUAUAACAAAAUUCAGCCCAUCCGAGAAAAGAGAUCCACGAGUGUGGCUUCUCAUUCGUGAAUGCACGUAAGUACUACUCUAGUCCCCGAUUGACGACUUCGGACUGCCCGUCCGUUUGUGGGUUGUAAGUCGUACUAUGGCGCAAGGAUGUACCGCUAAGCUGAAAGAGUGUCUGCCAAAAUUUACUCAUGAAGACGGGGUCACGAUCGGAUAUGAUUGAACUCGGAAACCCAUGAAUCUUGACCACAAUUGCCACAAAAACUUCCGCUGAUUUGGCGGCUAUGAACUGAGUUGGCAAAGCCCCGAAGUGCGCUGACUUGGUGAGACGGUCAACCACUACCAUGAUAACUAUAAAAUUGCGGGAAGGGGGCAGGUUGGUAAUGAAGUCCAUGGUGACUUCGUCCCAUACCAACGAAGGAACUGGGAGUGGCUGGAGGAGUCCAGUUGGGGCUUGGGUUGAAUACUUUGUCUGUUGACAAACUAAGCAUGCUGAAACAUAUUGCUCCACAUCUGCCCACAUGCAUGGCCAAUAAAAAAGAGUAGCCAAGCGAACCAAGGUACGUUUUACUCCACCAUGACCCGCGAAUGGGGUAGCAUGAAACUCAUGCAACAGUAGGGCCUUUAAGGAAGAGUUGGGGCUGAUGUAGUAUCUAUGCUUGAAGAACAACAAGCCAUCAUGAAGGGAAUAGUCCGAAGAGAGGGAACCCGUCGUGAACUGUUGAUGAAGGGAGACUAAGUCCGGGAGUGUAGAGUUUUCGUGACGAAGGGUGGUCAAAAACUCUAAGGAGGGGUGGCUCGAGAACGGCAGACAUGAAGGCGCAAAUAGCGCAGGCUAUUCUAAUUCCUCUUCAUGGACCCGAGACAAAGCGUCCGCUGCUUGAUUAGCACGCCUCGGCUUAUAUUCGAUCCGAAAAUGGUAGCCCAACAACUUCCGGAUAUAAAUCUAUUGAUUUGGAGUUUGUACUACCUGCUGCAAUAAUUCUUUGAUGCUUUUGUGAUCCGUUAGGAUAAUGAAAAACCUGCCCAAUAGGUAUUGGUGCCAUUUGUGUACUGCCUCAGCAAUGGCGUGAAGUUCCUUGAGGUAUGUUGAUGAAGCUUGUAGGCGCGGACCUAAUUUCUUGGUGAAAUAAGAGAUUGGGUUACCUGCUUGCAUGAGAACGGCGCCUAUUCCCACAUUAGACGCGUCAGUUUCGAUCACGAAGGUCUCAUUGAAAUCUGGCAACCGUAAAACUGGCGCUGCAACCAUUGCACUUUUCAGGGCAUCAAAAGCCACGGUAACCUCUGGAGUCCAAUUAAAAGCGUCUUUGCGUAACAAAUCCGUGAGCGAAGCCGCGAUUGAAGCAUAACCGUGAAUGAACUGCCGAUAAUAGCCCGUAAGGCCGAGGAAACCUCGAAGGUGCUUCAAGGUGCGGGGUAUGGGCCACUUCAUCAUGGCAUCGAGUUUUUGCGGAUCGGCACGUACCCCGCCAGCAGAAACUAUGUGUCCCAGAUACUCAAUUGUCUCAUAGCAAAAGUGGCAUUUGGAGAGCUUGACGUAAAAACUACCCUUGUGAAGGCAAGUCAAAACCUGCUCCAGAUGAGUAACAUGCUCAGAAAUAAUAGUGUUGUAAACCAGAAUAUCGUAAAAAAAAAACGAUUACAAACUUGCGCAAGAAUGUAGCAAACAACUGGUUCAUUGUGGCUUGAAAAGUGAAUGGGGCAUUCGACAGCCCAAAAGGCAUGACAAGAAAUUCGUAGUGGCCCUCAUGAGUCCGAAACGCUGUUUUAUAGACGUUCCUAUUAUGUACCCUGAUUUGGUGGUAACCAGCCCGGAGGUCCAGUUUGCUAAAAAUAGUAGCGCCUCCUAGUUCGUCUAGAAGCUCGUCAAUGGUUGGAAUCGGGAAUUUAUCUUUGAUCGUUACUGCAUUGAGAACGCGGUAAUCGACACAAAAGCGAUAGGUACCGUCCUUUUUUUUUAACUAAUAACACCGGAGAGGAGAAAGGACUUUGACUUGGCCGAAUUAUACCUUGAUCAAGCAUCUCUCGAAUUAAUUUUUCCAUCUCAUUUUUUUGGAAGUGUGGAUAUCGAUAAGGACGAACAUUCACUGGCUUUGAAUUAGGAAUGAGAUGGAUCUUGUGGUCAAUGGUGCGGUACGGGGGAAGGCCUGUUAGCGGAAGGAACAGGUCACGAAAUUUCUACAAAGUAGUAGAGAUAGCCACGGGCAAGGUAUUGGGAAAAAUAAGUGUAUUCUCUUUGGUAACCAAAGAGACAGUUUCCAACUCUUCUGUCGCUAGUGGCUGCAAGGCAAACAUGCUGUGGACAUUUGAACUGUGGAUCAGUGCCUGAAAUUGAUUAAAAGUAAUCAAGCUAGAGGACUGGUGCAAAUCCCCAUGGAGAAUGAUCGGACGCCCUUCCCAACAAAACUCCAUUGACAGAGCUGCAUAAUCAUGGGCAACACGACCCAAUUGUUGCAGCCAUUGAAUACCAAGAACGACGUUAGGUCCUUCAAUUGGUAGGAUAAAAAGAUCUAAGGGAAACACAUUCCCUUGCAACGUCAAAGCAACUUGGGGGCAAGUGUGCUGGCAAAUUAAAUAAUCUCCAUUGCCAAUGUAAACUCGAAAUUUAGGAGUUGGCUGAAUAGGGAGGCCCAAAUGCUCCACCAGAGCCGGUUUAAUAAAAUUGUGAGUACUACCACUGUCGAUGAGCACAUGGAAGCGAUGAGACCCAAACUCACCAACUACACGCAGGGAGCGAGGAUUACUUUGGCCUGCCAAGGCAUUGAGGCUGGAAAUGUCACCCGUGACCAAGUCCUCGGCCGGUUCGGUCGCCACGCCAUCAUCAUCUGUAUCCUCAUCAAUAUCAUCCGUUCCCAAAAGAAGCAAAAAUUUGCUGCGACAACGAUGAUUAGCAGAAUAUUUUUUGUCACAAUUAUAGCAUAAUCCCUUUUCGCGCUUUUCUCGUAACUCAGUAGGGGUGAGGCGACGAAUAGGUAAAGCAGGGGUCGGAGCUAUGGGUGGUGUUUGCUUAUGCCCGACCGUUGUCGGUGGUGAGGCCAAAGCGGGGGUGGUUGUUUGAAACAGGCUCGUCGGAAAGGCCGUUACAGCAUGUUGUCUAAUGGAACUCACCGUGGACGUGUUGGCAGCAUUGGAAGAGGACCACUUAUGCCAAGGGCGAGCGCCCUGCUUGAUCUCCUCACAACGAGUUUCAUAGGCUCGAGCUAAGGCAAAAGCCUCCAUCAACGUGGACGGCCGUGAGAAAAGUAGCUCACGACGAAUAUCCGAUUUCAAGCCGGUAAUGAAAAAACUAAUCAACAACGGCCCAGAAAUUCCCGUGACUUUAUUCAUCAGGUCCUCGAAGGCCGACUGAAAUUCCGCCACAGUCGAAGUCUGAGUGAGCUUAGAGAGAUUACCUUGAUGGUCUUCAUAGAGGGAAGCUCUGAAACGGUGCUUCAGACUGAGUAAAAAUGCCUUCCACGAAGACAACAGAUUAUUGGCCUUCAUCCAUUGAUACCAACCUGCUGCCGGACCUUCCAUAUGGAAGGAGACAAUCCGCAAUCAGAGCGGCUCAGGUGUUCCAUGAAAAUCAAAAAAUUCCUCAACGCGAAAUACCCACCCAUGUGGAUCGGUUCCGUUAAACUUCGGAAUCUCCAUUUUCAUAAAAAGUAAGGCAGUGGCUAACUCAUUACCUCCAGCACCCAUCUCAGUAACAAGCGGCGAGGCCGGUGGAGGACCCAGAAGACCCGCAGACGAUCCCGACGAUCCACGAAACUGAGAACGAAACUCCUCCAGUCACGAAUCCACAGUAGACAUAUAUUGUUGGAGUAUUUGAUGAAACGACACCGUUUGGCUCUCAAAUUGAGCUUCAAAUUGAUCCUGCAAUGCCUUAACCGCUGAAAGCACAUCCGAGUCCGCCAUCAAAGGAGUCGAUGAAAGCACUAAUUGAUACAUUCUUCCUGCAAAUUGACCAAUUAGCACAAGAGAACUCUUCGAGCGAGUGUCAGCUCCAAUAUCUCCAGAACAAAGAAGGGAGAAAACAGAGAAAAGGUUGAGCAGAAAAAUGAAGAAUAAGGAAAAGAAAAAAAAAAAGUUCAGAUCCCAAAAUCUCAUAGCAUAAUUCAUGCAGACCUCUCCCGAGAGUUUUAUGCCUUCUCUUGGGAAAAUCAAAACCAAAGCGACACAACCGUCUAACAGAAUUGGUUACAACCAGAAAUAGUAAAUUGCAGGAAAAAUAAAAAAAACAAACCAAAAGAUAAAACCGAAGCUUCACGUCCCUUUCCUUACACGACGUAGUCGUUCAUCCAAGUUGGUGGUUUUCUGGGCCUGCGUGGGCCUGAGUUGGACUGGGCCUUGGAAUGCUUGGUGACUAGCUGAGUGGCAGCAUUGGGCUCUUCCGUGGGAGGUACUUUAGGUGUAUUGGGCUCUUCCACAACGGAUGCUUCAGUUGUCUGUACAUGUUGCUGUAAAGGGAUGGCCACAAAUGUAUCACCCACUCUAGCAUGGUAGCAAAAGAGUAAAUAAAUGAAAGAUUAGAGUUUAACAUGAAAUAGAAACUUAAAAAAAUGUGCAACCAAACUUGUAAAUAAGUAAUCAUAAAUGGAAUCAGAUUGGCAAUUAUCUUUCUAAACUUCAAACGGGUCAACAGACGUAGAUUAUUCAAAAUACUGGCUUAGUAUAGUUUGUUCAUAUCCCCAGUCAGCAUAUGUUGUUCUAGCCUGCAAUGCUACUUUUAUGUGGUGGUUACUUCUCCAAUGAAAGACUAAAAGGCUAGUAAGUAGUUUUAUUGAACCUGAAACUAGCAUUGGGCUAAAUUUGACGAUCAAAACAAACAUAAUGUAGAGAACUUUGGAGGAGAAUUGAUGUGAAGAGCAAUAUGGGAAUGAUGGAUACAUAUGAAUAAGUACUUAACUACAAAUGUUGCAUCCCAUAAUUACAAAUGCUUUCUAAGGUCAAACAAAUUAUCCCAAUUAAAAAAGAAAAAUACAUAAUUUAUAUUCACAAAAGAACCCAUCUCUAUUCAACAUUUAAGAUUAAAUUCCUAGUUAACUAAAGAAAAGCUAUGAAAAUGACAACCUAUUCAUAGUAUUGAAGGGAUCUAUCCAGUCCACUUUUCUUUUUCGUUCUAUGAAGGUGGCAACUUUUCACUAACACCAAUGACUUAAGGAACUUGUGUAAUUUAAGGAGUCUCUAAAUUAAUUACAACAUAUUAUCCUUUAUAUUGUUAUGUAUGUAAGACUAAUAUAGAUGUCCAAUUUUCUCUUUGAUAUAAAUGAAGUGGCUUAACGAAGAUUUAGGAAAGAGACCCUUCAAUUGAAAUUAGACAAAUGCCAAAAAGGAAAGAGAGCAAGGCACUUAAAUAUACAUAUAUUAGGAAUUUUAUGCAAAGAAUAAGAUGUCGAAAUCACACAGUGUCAAAGUAAGAAUGCCUUGUUCAUAUGAUCAAACUCAAUCACAUCAUCUUAGAGGCAUAGAUGAAUGAACAUAUCAUUAAGUUCUUGUCACCUUUGUGAAACUAAGGUUUGGUUAAUCUCGGUUUUGAUGAUAACAAAACAAUGUUUAAAACUAAUGAUUAUAUUUCAAGUGUAAUUAGGCAAAAAGAUUUUCAAAGUGGCAAUCUCAAAGACAAAAUCAAGCCAAAGGAAAAUCAAUAAGAAAAAGAAGACCUCAAAGAGAAGUGUUUUUCAAGACCUAAACUUCAUAGGAUCUCUUUGUAAGGUUGUUGGUGUGCUAAGUUUUUCAUAUAUUAUAUUCUUUAUUUAUGCACUAAAAUCAUCCAAGAGUUAUUUUGUUUUAAAUCCUUAAAAAUGGAUAAUUUCAUGUUUUCAACUAAAACUUUCUGUCAAAUGCUUUCCAAACUUGUUUAAAGGGGUUUUAAGUUAUGAAAAAAAAAAAUGGUUAUUGAGCCAAAAAGGGCUCAACCGGUUGCACCAGAUGAGGAAUCGGUUGACCUGUUUAGCUCAAUCGAUCAAAGAGUGCAAAAAGCUUUUCUUUCUUCCAGAACGCUUGUUCAAUUGGUCAAGGGGCGAUCGAGGUCCAAUAGUCACCUGUCAUGCAUUAAAUGCUAACGGCUAGUUAACCAGUUGAACUGGAGCUCGAUCGAACAAACCCCCAAUGGCUAAUUUGGAAUUUUUUUCUAUAAAAAGGCUUCAAUCUUCAUUGUUUCAAGAGUUUAACUUUCAUAAACAUUUCUUGAAUAUAUUUGAGCCUUGGGAGAGUGCUUUUUAGUGCACCAUUGUUCUAAAACUUGCAUAUCAUUAGUGCACCUUUCAAUCCUAGUUUUUCUUGUACAUUUGAGCCUAAAGUUUUGUACUAGAAUUUUGUGAAAUUAUUUCUUAUCUUCAUUUGUCAAUCUUUGAGAGGAAGAAUCUAAGUGUGAGGUAUCACUUAGGGAUUCUCAAGUGUGAGGUAUCACUUGAAGGUUAUUUAAGAGUGAGAUAUCUCUUGAAGAUUGUAAAGGGUGCUUGGAUUCAAAAGUCUAAAAGGGUGAAUUGGAACCAUAAUUCAAUUGUAUUGUUUGAAAGCUUAGUUUGGAAGCCUUGAAUUAGUGGAACCUCAAGCUUGGGAUUGAAGUUAAAGGAGAGUGGACAUAGGCUGGGUUGCACUGAACUACUUUAAAAAUCUUGUGUUUGCAUUCUCUUUUUCCUACUCUUUUACUCUAUAUGCAAUUGUCUUUAUUUUAUUUUAUUAUAUAUUUGCAUAUAAUUACCUCUUGCAUUCACAAAAUUUAAAUUUUCAAAAAGAGACCAUCACCCUAUUCUCCUCUCCCCCUUUAGAAUGAUUACCUUAGGUUAAAUUAACCCAAUUUUUCUAACAACCUUUAUGGGCACUUGAGAAUGGAAGGGUUUUUUUUUUUUUUUUUUUUUGUGUAACAUACUGCAUGGAAUAACAAAUAACCAACCUACUCACCUGAUAUAGAAGAAUAGGUCCUUCAUUUUCAAAUAUGGAACCUUAAAUAGAAGAACUUAAUAGAACUUAAAUAAAAGCAAGUCUAACAUUGGUAAGAGAAUCUGAUACAUAUAUGGUAUCAAUAACUUUUUCUCCUUUCUAAUAUGGGAUAUCAUAAUCAUUCUCUCCUUAUGUAAAGACAAUUCGUUCAUCAUGUCUCAUAUAAUUGUAAGGCCAAACAAAUAGACACCUAUUGUUAAGCCAAAUAAGCAAGGAUUCACAUCAACAUCAAGGAUCAAUUUCGAUACCAUCAAUAACAACCCACUUUCCCUUGUACAUAUUGUUUGCUCUAAACCCAAUGGGCUCUCACAACUUAACAUGUUUACAUGGUUAAAAGAAAUUUUUACAUAUAUAAUGUUAAGAACUUUUUCCCGUAUCCAAUAUGAGAUAUCGCAAUCACACCCCCAUUUAGACAAAUCUUCAUUAUGUCCCAUGGAAUUGAAGAAAAAAUAGGGUUAGACAUAUAAACACCUUUUACGGGGUCAAAAAAAUAAAGUCUCAUACUAGGAUUGAGGAUCCACUUUAAUAUCAUUUGUUAUUACCAAUGUAAAUACUAUAUACUCUGAGCCCAAUGGGCUCUCUGAUUUGAGCCAAAAUAUGUUCUCCAAUGGUGCACACACACACGCACACACACACACACACACAUAUAUAUAUAUAUAUCAUGAUUUAUGAAAUAUUAAAAGCUCAAAUCAUCCAAAUUAACUUAAAUUGAUGCUAAGACCCUAGUUAUGGAUCCAACUUCUAUUUUGAGCCUAAUUCUAGGUUUCAUGGAUGAAAAAAUUGAUAAAUGCAAAAGUCAUUAUCAACCAAGGAAGUAAAAGAGGGUUAAACAUGCAUAAUUGAGAUAUUCGAGACUUAUGAACCAUGAAAAGUCUAAGUAAGGGUGUAUUGUCCAAGUUUUGGGCAUGAAAUACUAGCAAUGAACAUUAUGGAGUGAUAUAAAGGGCAAGCAACCAUAAUGGAGGAGGUUUAAAGCAAAUGCAAUCAAGUUCAUAUGGAAAUUUGGAACUCAAAACCUAGUAGUAGCACAUAUGUUGACUCUGAGGUUAAAUCUAAAGCAUUUCUCAAGAUCAAUUUUGGGCAAGCUAUAUCAUUUCAAAACUCAGGAAAUCAAGAGUCUAAUGCUUCAAAUAAUGUUCAAAUAGAAGUUGAAAUGAGAAAGUUAUGCGGAUUUGAAGCAAAUUGGGCAUAGAAGAAUGUUGAGUUUGAAAGUGAUACCUUGAAUUUGAAAUAGUUUUUGAAAAUUUAUAACUCAAAGGAAUGCGAGGUUACUUUUGGCAAAGGCUGAGUCUGAAUUUCCUUACCUAUUUUCGAUAAAAGGCACACUAAAAACAUGGUAAUCAUGAAUAGGUAGUGAAUGAGAUCAAAAUUAAUAGUGAAUUUCGAAUUCACCAUGGUGAUUUCAAAUUGGUCAUUUUUUCUCCACUUAUUAGUUCAAAAAUGAUUUGGAAUUCACCCUAAUUUCGAACGCAACCACUAGUGAUCGAAUUUUAAGCUCUCAAAAAAGUCAAAACGAGUUGCAAAUGCCUUCAUCCAAGUCAAAAUGCAUGUUAUUGAUUUAGAACUCGUAAUAGUUUAAGUCUUUUAGGUUGUCUAUGACUUUUCUUUAUAAUAAUUAGUCAGUGGAAGUGUGUCACGUGUUAGGUUAUUAAAUUUAUUAUAUGAACUCUUUUAGUUUUAGUUUUUUUAAGAAGAAACGAAUAGAUGAUAGGAGAAAUAAAGAGAGAAGGAGUUGAGCUCUCCUCUUGAAAUUCUUAAUAAAGUUUUAGGUUUCUUUUCUUUUAUUUUCUCUUUCUUCCAUCUUUAUAUUUUAUUUUCUUGGCAACCAAACAAGGAUUAUGAGGAGAAAUCCCCCAUCAUGUUUAAUAAGUUAAUUGACCUAAAGAUGCUAACAUGAAGAUGAAGAAUCCCAAGAAAAGCAACAAGAAACAGUAAUGUAUUGAAUGGUUUGAUUAUAUUUUCAAGUUUUACUUGGUAGGAAUUAACCCUUUAUGUUAUAUUACCCUAGAUAAAUUACAAUGGAUUCUUAUCAAGAUACUAGUGAUUCUUGAGAAGACCUUGAUCACUAGUUAUUAUAAUUUAAUUCUCAUGUUAAUGAAUCUAAAAGUCGAAUCUACAUAGUUGGAUAUAGGCUUUUGAUUGAAUAAAAUUGAAAAUCAAAUUUAAAUUUCAUAUUUUAAUUGGUUUAAGAGAUUUUUGUUUCAAAUAUAAAAAUUUAUUGAGAUUAAUGAAUGGUUGGGUUAUAGAUUAUGUCCCUUUAGUUCUAUCCUUGUGAGUUAUGUUAGGGAAUGAUAUGGUAGAUUAUUACUCAAUAUUAGUGAUUUUUGGUAACUCUUAAUCAUUAGUUAUUCUGGUUUUCUCUAACAUUAUCUGCCCCAAAACAUAGCUAUAAGGAGUAGGAAAGGUUAAGAAGCCAAACCUUAAACCCAUAACCAAUCUCAUUCACUUGAUAAUUUUAAGAAUCUAUUUUAAAAAUAUUGAUUACUACUCAAAAAGUGCUAUUUUGUAGAUUGUAAUUAACUCUUUUAAACACUCUUGAGUAGUAAUUAUUACCUUUUAACUCAAUUGACAUGUUAAGGACCCUUGCAAUCGUUUCUAAUCAAAUUGUGUUAAGUUUUGGUGUUUUUGAUAGCUUUUAGCUACACCAAAGCAAUCCAAGAAUGAGGGAGAGCUGUAUAUAGUUCAUGGCAAAGCUUUUGGAAGCUCAAAUUAAUGAAGAACCAAGCUUUGGAGCUCCAUAGCCCUUUGCCAAAGUCGUUCAAAGUAUGCAAGGAAAGAACAACGGAGAGAGGAAAAACAGAGUGAAGAAAAUAGAGGACAGCAGAUGCAGUCUUCUUUCACACUUUUGGAGCACUUCCCGAAGUCCAUUUUCUACAUUCUAUAUACCAUUUCAAAGCUUAGGAAGUCAAGAAUCCAACUCUUCAAACGGUGUACGAAUUGGAGCUGAAAUGAGGAAGAUAUGGCCUUCUCAAGACAACUACAUCCAUCUCAUUUCCAUCCGGGUAGGAAUUCCAUCAGGGUAGAAAUUCCAUCCGGGUAGGAUUUCCAUCCGGGUAGAAAUUCCAUCUGGCUGCCGCCAUUUCCAUCCGGAUGUAUCACAUCCGGAAUCAGGCUACCGCCACUUACAUCCGGCGCCGCAUCCACCCCCGGAUGACAUCCGGAAUUCAGGAUCCGGAUGGGAAAGGAGGCAUUUCAACUUCAUCCGGCAGACAUAUCCGGAUGGGAAAGGAGGCGUUUCAACUUCCUCGAUCAGCCAUGUCCGGAUCCUCCAUGGCGUUUACCCGGAUCACUCCAAGCUGAAAGCAGAAUGUUGCACAGCUGCAGUGUUCUCCUGAAGCUUCCUGAUAUUUGCGACCGACAUUUUGAGAUCUUCUGGGAUAUUUUACUUUAGAUAUUUGAUGUCUAAAUUCCCAAAGUCUCCUUGUAACCCACCUAUCAUAGGAUUCCUUAGUCUUUAAGUAAGAACAAAGGGUAAAUAAACCCAUAUAUAUAGUUUGUAAUCUUUUCGAUAAAGGGGAUCUGGAGGAGCUUGUUCUUAGAGACAACCCUUUGAAUAAGUAAUAUAUACACAGAGCACUUGCUCUGUUUUUCAUACAAAUAUAUUUGUGUUUUCUCGUUCUUUUUAUUUCUAGCCAAACAAGCUCUGAGGAAGUUUCUUCAGAGAAUGAGUGGCUAGACUUUUAGUUCCUUGGAGUUAAGGUUGCCGGGAAAGGUUCCAAAUGCAAGAAUUAGUAGCUUUGUGGUUUUAGCCAUUAAUGAAGAGAAAGUGUGACUCGUUAAUGAUUUCUAUCUUUUUAGUUAACUUAAAACGCCUUUAAAUCACCUGGGCCAACACUUGAUAAGGCAAGUGAUCUCCUUCCAUUGAGAUGCACUAGUUUAUCUCUUGCGAGCCUUUGGAAGGUAGUUUGAAGGUAGGAUUUUUCUAGAAUAGCCAACACUUGGUAAGCUUUUGGACUCCACGGAGACAUCCAUUAGUUAUCUCUUGCGAGCUUUUGACGGGUAAUCCAAGGUUAAGGAUCACCUUGAAUGGAAAAUGCUAGGUGAGAGGCACAAACCAUUGCAAGGUGCAUCAGUGAGAGGGAUUUAAUGUUUGAACCCAUUAAGGGGAAGCAUCUGUACAGCACCGGUUAGAGAAUUGACUAUAUGUUAAUUCUCUAAUGUGAGGAAAUGAACCAAAUGACCUGAGUUCUGUUUUUUUUUUUUUUUGCACGAGGAACCUACCUUGUGAACCUAAACCUCCAAGGAAUGCUUUUCUUUAUAAGUAAUUUCUAUUACUUUCUUUGCCGUUAGAUUACACCAAACCUUUUUCAAUCAAAGUUUAUGUUUUCUUUUGAAGCUAACCUUGAAAUGAAAAGGCACUAAUUUAGCUUUGAAUUGGUAUCAUUUAUGAAUUGAAAACCCUUCCCAGUGAACGAUCCUAGAGCCACUACACUAUAGUAGCUUUGUCUUUGCUACCCUAGUUCAUGGUGUAAUAGGUUAUAAAUUUUGUUGAUUACUCCCUUAGCCAAGGAGCACCAACUGGACAUAAAUCAGCUGAUACACCGACUGGGCAUGAAUCAAAUAUAUAUAAAUAAGUUCUUGAUGCAAUAUUAGUCUUAAGAUUCAAUUUGAUCACAAACAAACUUUGAUCCUAAACCCUAGAGUUUAUAAUGCUCUCUCUCUCUCUCUAAGAAUUUGACAUUGGAUUGUGAAACUCUCCAAUACAUUUUCUUUUGUUUAAUUUAUUUUAUUAAAUAUUUUAGAAAAUAUUUAUCCAUAUUUUAUUCUUAUUUAUUUAAAUUAUGGUUUCAUUAACUUUAGCAAAUAAUUAAUCAUUUUAACUUAAAAACAAAUAAACACAUUAGAGCUAAUCUGAGAGGACGACAAACCGGAAUACUAUAAAGUUAUGCCAACUAUAUCUCUUAUUUUUCUUUGUCAGACUUACUACGUCUUUAGGCUUUAAUAUUUUAAUUAUAACAUAGAUUUAUGGUCAUGGGGCCUCACAACUUUAAAUUGCAUUUACAUGGUUAAGAAAAGUCAAUACAUAUAUAAUGUUUGAAACUUUUUCUCUUAUCUAAUAUGGGAUAUCACAAACAUGCCCUAUCCAAACACGACAUCUUCAUCAUGUCCUAUAAGAUUAUGAGUCCAAAUAGGUAGACAUUUCUUCUAGGACCAAAUAAACAAAGGCCCACAUUGAGAUUAAUGAUCAACACUAAUACCAUUUAUAAUGUCCUACUCUUUCUCAUGUAGGUAUUGUCUACUUUUGACCUAAUAUACCCCCAAAACUUUAAAAUGCAUCUAUGCAUGGUUAAGAGGAGUAUGUGUGUGUGUGUGCGCGCACGUGCUAGGAGACAUGUAUAAACCCCUCUUAACCAUGUAGACACACUUUAAAACCGUAAGGGCCUAUUGGGAGUAGAGCGGACAAUAUCUAUAUAGAAGAGAGUAGUUUGUUAUAAAUGGUACUAGAUUCAAUCAUCGACCUUAAUGUGAGCCUUUUUCUAUCAUACCCCAUAAGAAAUGUUUGUUUGUUAGAUGAGACAAUCUUAUAAAACACAAAGAGGAUGUCGUAUUUACAUUGGAGGGGGAUUAUGAUAUCCCACAUUAGAUGGGAGAAAAAGUUCUCAACAUUAUAUAUGUAUGAGUUCUUCUUAACCAUGUAGAUGUGUUUUAAAGUCGUGAGAGCUCAUUGGGCCUAAAGCAAAGAAUAUCUAAAUUAGAGAGAAUGGAUCAUUACAAAUGGUAUCAAAGUUAAUUCUUGAUCCUAGUGUAAGAUUCUAUCUAUCUAACCUCUUAAAGGGUGUUUAUAUGUCUAACCCCAGAAUCCCAUAAGACACAAUGAGGACAUUAUAUCUGCAUAAGGGGUGAUUAAGAUAUCUUACAUUGGAUAUAGGAAAAGGUUCUUGUAUAUAUGUGUGUGUGUGUGUGUGUGUGUGUGCUUCUCUUAACCAUAUAGACGCAUGUAAAAGUUGUAAAGGCUCAUUGAGCUAAAAACGGACAAUAUCUACAUAGGAAUGAGUAGGUCGUUACAAAUGGUAUCAAAGUCAAUUCUCAACCUUGAUGUGAGUCUUUGUCUUUCUGAUAUCCCUGUAAUUUUAUGGGAAACAACAAAGACGUCGUGUUUAUAUUAGGUUAAAUGGGUAAUUGUGAUAUCUCUUAUCGAAUAAAGGAAAAAGUUCAUAACACUACAUAUGUAUUGAUUUCUCUUAACCAUGUCUACGCAUAAGGACUUAUUAAGCCUAAAUAGACAAUAUCUAUAUGGGAAUAGGUGAGUCAUUACACAAAGUGUUGCCUAUGAACUAGGUAAAAGGCCUACACUAUGCUUCAAACUGGGCUUUCAACUACUGCAAAAGAGUCGCACAUGGACUAGAACGUAAAAGUUGGGUAUAGCCCAUGCACAAUAUAAACAUUUGGGCUUUAAAUUAGGCUUCCAAUUGCAAUAAAUGAGUCUCACAUGGGCUAGAACACAGAAGGUGGGUAUAACCCAGACAAGAAAAAUAUUUAAUACAAUUAAACUAAUUAACCUAAUAAGGAUCAAAGAUUUUCAUCCAGGAUGAACUAUGAGAUAAUAGAGACUGAAAAAAUAUGAACCUCCAACCAUGGUCAACAAUGGAGUCUUGUAUAGAGUUUCUAAAAGUGUAUUAAUUCCUUCAACAAAAAACAUAAUUUACACUACCCUUACUUUAUCAUCUUGAUUUCAAUUAGAUAAAUUAGAUAAGAAAAUUAUAAACUUGAUUAUAUAAAUCUUCUUUUUGGUACUUCUUAUUUAGUACAUUAACAAAAUUAUAGGAAAAAAUGGUUAAUUUCACUUACCUCUCUUGAGGUUUGGGCUAUACACCUAGCCCCCCAUAGUUUGAAAUUUCAUCAAAAACCUCCCUCACUUUAAGUCAAAUGGGAGGUGAAUGAAAUUAAGGGUAAGUGAGAUUUUUAACAAAAAAAAAAAUCAAACUAACAGGGGCUAGAUGUAUUUAGAUCAAACCUCAAAAGAAGCAAGUAAAAUAAACCCUAUUAAAAAAAAAUAAAAUUUCUCUUAAAAAUAAAAAUCAAGGAUAAUGGUUGAUCCAUCAAGACUUAUCUCAUAAUAUCUAAUAAUGAUAAAAAUAUAAACUUCAUCCAUCAAAAACUUUAUAGCAUGCAUGAAUAGAAUACCAAUAUUUAGACUUGAUCCCUUAAGUCCUUGUUGAAGAAAAUAGUUUUGUUAGAUAUGAUGUGGAAUCAAAUAGCGAAGAAAAAAUAUUGGGCUUUGAGAGCAUCAAUUCCUCCCAUCAAAGGAGCAAAGAAAGUGGAAUCAUUAUUACAAGUCCAAUUGUCCAAAGACCAAGAUUUAGUGCUAGAAUCCUAGCUAGAGAUAUAGACUCCCUAUUUACAUUCUCAAAAUUGAGAUAUAAUCUUUAAAAAUAAAUAGAAAAAUCAUUGAGAAAAUGAAUAAAAUUUGGUAUAGAAUUAAAGUUGAAAAACAAUGAUCAUAAUAGAACAUAAAGGUUUAAGUUAACACACUACUCUAAGCCUUGAAGUUGGUCUAUUGGUGGUGACUAAUCUCUAAGACUUAAACUUAGAAUUAUGCAUAGAUUUGAACCUUAACCAUAACCAAACCUAAACCUAAUAAGUUAAAUAGAGAUAUUACCAAAGGCCUCUUUUGAUAGUGAUUGUUGAUGAUAGAAUCCAAAUGAUGGUAGCUUAUAGGUCACUCAAAAUGUUUUGUUUGAAAAUAUUUUCACUCUAAUUUCUUAUGUUGAUGUAGUCUAAUUAAAUUUUAAAAAGAAAAUCUACUUAUAAGUUUCCAAAAAUUUUCAUUAUAUCUUGGUUAGUUAAUGGAAUUUAUGUAUAGUCAUAGCAACUAAUAUUACUCUUUUACAAGAGAUUGACCUUAAGUGGGAUGUUUUCCUUAGAUUUUGAGAAGAGAUACAUAUAGAGUAAGAGUACUAGUUUUUUUACCUUAUCUUUGUAUGCUAAGGAUUGUAAAAAUAGUUAAAGUUGAUACUUUAGGAUAUCUUAGAUUUUUCUUUGAUAAUUAUUUUCUACUCCAGACUGAUAACACCUAUAGAACAUAAUAUAUCCUUAUGGUAACCCAAUUGAGAAUAAUUUCCUUAGUGUGAAGGGGGUUGUGAAAUGGGAUAGGUUCACUACAUCACAACCCAUGUGUUGUGAAAUUAGAAGUUCACUUAGGGUUGCGAACACCGAUAGAAGAGCUGAUUUUGCAUCUUUUUUCCACUUUUUGCACGUAUUUUCCUAUAAGACUUGCACAGCAAAAGUCUAGGUACCUUGUGGCAAAUAACGCAAUGAAAACAUAUAGUUCUAUGCUUAACUAAUACAAAAUGGUAUGAUUUUGUUAAUUAAAUUAGAUCCAUUUAGUGUCAAUCAAUUUCCUAGGAAAAAAAACAAAAAAAAAUAUAGAUCUUUACACAAGUUUUUCUUCUUGUUUUAAGGAACAAUCUGUUUUAGGUUAAGGGGAAGGAUCUUAAGAAGCAUAUAGUCAAGGGACACCUAACUUAAACAUGUAAAGCUUAAGUAGAAAGAACUAGCCAAAGGAAAUCCAAGGGUAUUAAGGGAGAGACUAAACAUAGAUGUAUGCCUAUGUAUAAGGGGAAUAAGAUGAGAAAACUAGGAGAUUACCUAUCUUGUCUCAUCUUUCUCAAUUCUGCUAGGAAAAUUGGACACUUGAGCAACUUAUGUGUAAGAGAGAAUAUAUCAAGUUUCUAUGCCUACAUAUAUUUUAUAAAACUUUUUUCCAUUCUUUUACUCUUUUACUUGCUAAGGACUAGCAAAGAUUAAGAGUGAUGAUUGCAGUCCAAAUAUGGCACUCUAAAGGCACAUAAAUGACAUGACUUCUAUAUGAUAUUUAAAGCUUAAAUCAUCCAACUUAGCUUGAAUUUGUGCUAGGUACCCUAGUUGUCUAGACAUACUUAUCAACAAAGGUGGAAGAGGAAUCAAUAAAGCAUGAAAAAAAGGAGUUGAAUCUUGUGGAAGAUGAGCAGAGCAAAGGCACCAUGGCACAAGCAAGAAGGAUGAACAGAGCAAGCAAUGAAGAGCAUGAAGGGAGGAUUCAGUCAUGUUUGGAGACACUUUGGAGGUCAAAUAAACAAAGGAAGGAAUAAAGGAGGUAAAACAAAGUUGGAGAAGCAAAAUAGAGUCAGACCAGUGGCUACGUUUUUGAAGUGCAUAUGUAUUUCAAACUAGGAAGAGCAAGCAACAAUUUUUAGGCAGUUUGUGAGUUCGAAAUGCACCCCCAUUUCAAACCCAUUUUAAACUCACUCUCUCCCACUUUGAAAUCUGCAUUUUUAGUUUGAAAUUGACUUAUAUGAUUUAGAACUCGUAUUUUUGGGAUAUUUUAAUGUAUUUGAGUAGUUAUAAGUUCAAAAUGCACUCUCAUUUCAAACUCACACUCUCUCACUUCAAAAUCAACAUUUUCAAUUUGAAACUUCUAUGAUUUAGAACUUUUAAUUUUGGAAUUUUUUUUUUUUUAUUAAAGUGACCAAUUAGGAUAUGCCACAUAUCAUAUGGUUUUGAUCAAACUACAUAAACCAGUUUAGUUUUGGUGUUUAAAGGUUCUUUUCGUAAGUAGGUUUAAGGGAGAGACUAAAACUCUUGUUUUCAAUUCUUUCUUUAAUUUUUUUUUUUUUCAUUUCUACAUUUUUUUUAUUAUAUUUUCUUGGCAACCAAACAUUGGUAACAUAAUGGUGAAGAAUCCAAAUGAGGAGUAGCAAUAGCACAAUAAGGUAUAGAUUAGUUUUUUUUAUGUUUUUAUUUUUCUAUCAAUAAGAGUAAAUCCUUUGUGUGAAUUCUCUUAUAUAUAAUAAAAUAAAAAUAAAAAUAAAAAUUUAUUAAUGUACUAAUAAUACUUGGGAAUAUUUUGAUAACUAGUUAAUUUAGUUUGAUCUUAGUAUUAAUGAAUUUAAUGGUUGAAUCUACAAGAUGGAUAUAUGGGGUAAUGAAUGCUUAAAACUAGAAACAAAAUUAACCAACAUAUUAAAUAAUUUUAAAAGAUAUGUUUUCCAAAGUUAAAAUUCUAGUUUUAUGUGUGAAUUGGUUUUAAGAUUCAAUGUGAUUUAUGAUAGACUUUGAUCUAAAACCUUAAAUUGUAUAAUACUCUCUUUCGCUACAAAUUUCAUGUUGGAUAUUAUGAAACUCUCUAGAUGGUUUUUUUUUUUUUUUCAUUAAAUAUUUUAAAAAUCUUUAUGCAUAAGGUAUAAGCUUGUAAAAUACUAUUAAGACUUUUUUUUUCUUAUUAAGUAAUUGAAUUAAAUUUAGUACCUAUUUUAAAUAAUUUAUAAGUUAGAAAUUUAUAGUUUUUGGUCCUCAUAUUUUAAUAAUAAAUUUUUAAUAGUUAGAUAUAUGAAAGUAUAAAAAUAAAGAGAUAAAUGAAAAUACAGACAUAUGAAAUUAACUAUAUAUAAUACAAAUAAAUAAAAUUAUAAAUAAAUGAGAUUACAAAUAAAUGAGAUCAAAGUACAAAACAAUAGAAAUAAAAUAUAAAGUAAUAAGAUCCAGAUACAAAAUAAUGAAACCAUAUAUAAGAUAUAAAGCAAUUCGACUUGGAUAUAGAGUAAUGAGACUCGAAUUGCAUAUACAACAUUAGUUCAUAGGUGAUACUUUUGAUAGAUAUUGAAAUAAUAUUAUCCUUGUACCCUAAAAAGUAGGAUUUCACCAUUAUUGGGCUCUUACCCUAACCAACAGGGUCAACCAUUAGUUGAACAGAAUCCAACCCUUUGAAGAUCCACAUCAAGCUUUCAUGCUAGAAAAGCUACAAUGUCAUUUCGAUGCACUUCCUCAUAUGUCAAAAUUAUUCUUGUUAAAUUUUAAAGUCACAAAACAAAAUGUAUAACAACCAAACAUGUCUUAUAGAAAAAUGUUCAAUUAAAAAUAACGAGUAAACAAUGUGAUUGAAUGCAAUAGGGCAUUAAGCCAUGGACAUUCUAUCAAACACAGAGACAACCUUCUCCUAAAUUUUAAAUACAAAUUUAUAUGCCAUUUCUUUUCCAAUAGAUCUACUAUACAGGGUAUGCUUAGUGGGGGUUUGACUCCAAGAAUUAUGAACAAAGCAAUAUAAGAUAUGCAGUUGUUAUGUGACACCCCACAUCGGAUAGAAGGAAAAAUUUCUAAUACUAUGUAAGAAUGAACUCCUCAUAACCCUAUACAUGCGUUUUAAAGCCAUGAGAGCCUCUUUGAGUUCAAAGUAGACAAUAUCUAUAUAGUUGGGAGCGGGUCUUUACAAAAGGUAUCAAAGUCGAUCAUCAACCUCGAUGUGACGUUUGUUUGGCCCCAUAAGGGUAUUUGUCUGUUUAGCCCCACAAUCCCGUGGGAAACAACGAGAACAUUAUGUCUGUAUGGAGGGGUGUUUAUGAAAUCCCACAUCGGAUAAGGGGGAAAAUUCCUGACGCUACAUAAGUAUGCACUCCUCGUAACCCUGUAGACACAUUUUAAAGUCGCGAAAGCACCUUUGGGUUCAAAGCGAACAAUAUCUACAUGGUUAGGAGUGGGUCUGCAAUGGCCAAUAACUAGACAACUUUUCAGUGAAUAAUCAUAUAACAUCAAUACAUGACCUUGGAAUGAAACAAUCAUCAAUUGUGGCACAUUGGUAAGGGAAGAAGACAGAAUUAGAGUCAUCUUGCACUAGCGGAAUUACUAACAUCCCUAAUUUUAUACAAUAUUAAUACAUCAGAUAUCAUUGAACUGAAGAACAAACAUUUCAAGGAACUCAUAAUUUUCUAAGGAAGCUAGCUAGAAACAGAGAGAGAGAGAGGCAUAACGCCCAGCAUCAACAUCUGCAUCAGCAUCUACGAGUGUAAAUACCACAAUGCUGCUGUUUUCGGACUUUAUUUUUUUGGGUGAAGCAAGUUCUAUAUUGCCACAAGGCACAGCUGGUUUCUUUGGCUCGUUGGUGUUCAGAGCUAGAAAUUUUCCCACAUUAAGAAGCACCAGACUGCUGCUCGUUUCCAAGUCCAGCAACAACUCCUCCGAGUCUACGUCCCCUAUGAGGCAUUUUUGGAGAUUGCCACUGCACCCAUUGAUAAUGGUGGUGGUGUUGCUCUUCCUCAACGGUGAAGUAGCAGCUCUACAUGUUUUUGUGUGAAGGAGCAUCAUCACAACAAAAAGGGUCAGUGCAGAACCUCUCUUCAUUCCAACUCCCAUCUCCUCCUCUUCUUUUCUCUCGUCUUGCAGCUCGUUUGCCUUCGUCGCCUUGUAUGUGUAGUUGGUGAAAUGCAAUAAAUCUCGUAUCCGAUGAAACCAAACGGGUCAUCGAUGUCUUGAUUUCAAAAUCAACUGCCUCCAUUAAAGUUAUCGUCCUUUCGACAUUUAAUCUGUCAGUCUGCUGGUUGUUUUGGUAUUUAAGAGUGGGUUUAAUGCCUUUGAAAUUUCAACUUGGAAAAAAGUGUAAGUGUAUUUCAUCAGGCUUGAAAUUUGUUGAUGGAGUUGCUUUAAAUAAGUUGUUCUGAAGUGGCAAAGGUUUUCAUUACUUGUUCACUCACCAUAGUUCCCAAAAUCAUUCAAGCUUGGAACUUAAAUCUUAAAAACAGCCUUCCAAAUUUCAAUUCCAAAUCUUAAUUUGCUGAGGGUUUGUUUCAAUUUAUCCAUUCAGAUUAAGUUGGGAUUUCAUCUCAGAUUCAUCCUUUUUGUAGUUAAUGAGAGAUGAAGAAACAAUCAUAUAUGAAAGCUUUGGUUCCUAUAACUCUCAAGAUUAAUUUAAGCUCUCAAUGCCUUUGAUUUUGUUGCUUGCCUUUCUAGAUAAAGUAUCAGCCUGGAGUAUGUAAAUACUGAUCGACUCUCCUCAAACUUUUUUUCUGCCACCUAUUUGAUUAAGCCAUUCUGCAGGGCUCAGGGUUUCCAUUUGCCACAACCACAUCUCCUGCCCUAGUAAUGUUUGCGCUUUGUGUGAGAGUACUAGUAGCACCUAAACUAUCUAUGUUCAACAAAAUUUAAAGCUCUAUCCGGAUGUUGGAAGGUUCGAGGGUAACCUAGAAGGACAAAAAAAAAAAAAAAAAUUGUUAGAAAAUAAAAAGUAGACCAAGUAAAAAUUUUCUUAUUAAUAUCUCACUUCUAUUUUUUUUUCUUGUUAUUAAAUAUGGUUUAAAGCAUUUUAGGCAUUGAAGAGAAGUUUUAACCAAUUAAAAUGUUUUGACCAGUGAGGCCUUAGGAUAACAUGUCCAUCACUCUUUUUUUUAAUAAUAAUUAUUUUUUCAUUGGAUGAUAUUAAUCAAUAUUUUCAUAAUUGGAUGGUUAUUGAACUGAAAAAAUUAUUAGGUUAUGAUUUAUUGAUUAUGUCAAUGGUUCAACCACAAUCAAAUCCUAAUGUGUAGUAUUAUAAAUAUAUAUUUUAUAUAUUAUUAAAAUUUAAAGUUAUUAUAAAAUAUAAAUAAAAAUUCUUUUAUUUAAGCAUUACAUAAUCAUUUUAUUAUUUCAAAAAUUAUUAUGUUCUGGUUUUCUACAAAAUUAUUUAUAUUUGUUUGAAUUGAUGUAUUUAGCUGAGUGUAUAGUCUUUGACAUGAUACAAACAUAAUCAAUCAGCUCAGAUUAUCUAGUGGAUGCCACAUCUCCUCGUGAAAUUGUGAGAGGGAGAAAAUGGAGAAAAUCAUGAUUUUCUCUUAUUGGACAUUAUCUUUUAGAAUAGUUACACCUAUCACAAAAACGGGGAAAAGUGAAGGGAAAAACCAAAUAAAAUUUAUAGAAAAAAAAAAAGGGUAAACACAGAACAAAAUAUGAUAACAAACCUGCAGAAGAAGAAAUUACUGCUGUGGUUAGCUGUGGGAGCAUGCACGAUUUUUAUUGUAGAGGCCUUCACAAUUUUCUUCAUCACGAUGAACUGGAUUUUUAUCGGGGACGCACCUUUUAUAAGCUUUACCACGCCCACAAGCAACAGCCGGUUCCUUAGCGUUUCCGGCGGCCGCCUUACUUAUAUAAAUACCACUUUUCUGAUCAGCAAGCAUCCUAUUUAUUUCUGAAUCCAUCAGCCACUCCAUAUCUGGGAAUUGGCAGUCAUGGAGGGAGCCGCUGCAGUGCUCUGAGUGGUAGCUACUAUUGUUGCCCUUCACUGAUUCAGCUGUACAAACGUUCAUGUCUGGUAGUAUCUCCACUAUCCAUAUCAUGAUAACAAACGCUAGAGAGCAUCUCCACUUCUCUCCAAUCCUCAUCUUAUUCUUCUGUUCCCCUCUUUCUCUCUGUAACUCAGCAGUGUGGAGGCCUAGCAACUCAUUCAACACAGACCCAGAACCAGUCUUGUAUCUGUUUAUUUAUUGUGUAGUGGUAUGGGAGCGUUCUUAUAACCACAGGGUGGGUAGUGGGGAAGUUAAAGAUGAACUCCCACUAUGACUUGCCACAGCUAAAGUGGAAUGUUAACGCUUAGCACACAGCCGCCCUGUCCAAUGGCUUCCAUGAUUAUCGC